UUGUUUGUUUAUAUAUAUUUAUUUAAUUUUAUAAAAUAAUGUUGUUUUGUUAUCUAGUAUCAUAUCUGUUAUUGUUUGUGUUAUCUGCUGCUUGAUCUUAAGUCAACCUUUUCUAAUUUAGUUUCUUUAUGUCAUGCAAGGAUGUCGCCAUGCUGGUCUUCUUUUUGUUUAUUAUUGUCUAAUCUUUUAAAAUUUUUUCUGGCCUCCUAUAAAUGAAAAUCCACAAUGUAAUGAUUUUUAAAUAUAUUUUAAAUUUUAUUUGGGGUGGGUCUCUCUAUGAUAACUGGGAAAGGAUAAAGGUGUGAUAUUUGGAAGUUUUUUAGAGGGUAUUGUUGAUACUUGGAUGGACAGAAUGUCCAUGUUCCUUAUCCACAAAAAGUGGAGAACAAGGCGACGUUGUAGCGAAUCGUUAGAUCAUUGCUAAAGUUCUUGGUAAGAAGUUAAUGUUUAUUUUCUCCAGUACCUUUUUCUUUUAUUAUUUUGGUGCUUUGGUUUUAGGAAUAAUAGUGUUUUUAGGGGUGGAGAUGUCUUACAGGAUGAGGUCUGGUCCCCAGGCCUAUAUAAUAUAGAUGGUUUGCCAAUCUUCUUUUUGUUCUUCAUUUUUUCUGGGUGACUACAAAAGAAAUUUUAAACGAAGGUUUACCUUUUUCUUUUUGUAUUUACUUUGUAUCUAGCUCUUUUCUGAUGUUUUGAAUCUCCGUUGCUUUAAAUAGCUCACUGUUUUAUCUUUUGUGAUCAUUUUUAGUUCGUAUUCAUUUUUGUGUUGCCAGGGUACUUCCUUUGUUUCAGUUUUAGGCUUCAUUUUCCUUAGUUUUUGCCUUUUGCUCUUAGUAUAAUUCUCUUGUACUUCGAGCAAUAGUCUCAUUUUCUAUUAUUAAUAAAGUGGCUCGUCUCCGUUUAGAAAAAAAAAAAAAACAAAA